GGGGGGCGUUUACCACGGUGUGGUCCAUGACUGGGGUGAAGUCGUAACAAGGUAACCGUAGGGGAACCUGCGGUUGGAUCACCUCCUUACGAAGA
rnacentral:rRNA from 1 species